GUCUAUCACGAGGUACCACGUGAUAUCACAGGUUAUUUGUAGAUCCCUAGGAAUAUCGUCACUUUCUUCUUCCGUUAGUUAGUGUGAACGAUUAGGCGUCAAUUUGCAGACGAUAUUCAAAGAACACUGGUCGAUUUAUUGUGAUUGCCUUCUAGAGAACCAGAAUGAGUGGCACCUCGGGCACAGUUUCAACAGGAAGUGACGCCGGUGUUGACAUUUCCGGAAGCUGGACUAAGUCGAGUUCCGGCACUGAAUCAAACGGGAGCACGUGGUCGCAGAGUGAAUCGGCCAGCAUACACAUUGUGAUUAAAAGAUGCGAUACUCCGCCUAUAUGUGAAAGGUUUCCUCGGUAACGAGAUAUGACGUCAUAACAUCAAAUCAAAGGGACAUAUCAGUGCAUUUCAACAGGAUUCAAAUUUUGUUGUGAUUCAACUUUUGUUACACAUUUACAACUGGAUAAGAAUACUAUUUUCACAUUUGAUGUAUCACGAAACCGUAAAUGCCAAAUAAAUAAAUAAAACAGUUGGUGAGCGUCAACAAAACGGGGUGGUGUAAAGUCCCAACCAAGACGUUUUUAUCAUUUUCCCUCAAAUAUUCCAUCUCAAAACUAUUUCUUGAAAUACUGAAGAAAGCUUUUCUGUGGUGGAAGGAUGGGACAUAUCUCAGUGGUAAAGCGCUCGCCUGAUGCGCGGUCGGUCUAGGAUCGAUCCCCGUCAGUGGGCCCAUUGGCUAUUUCUCAUUGUAUCCAGGGCACCACUACUCUUAUGUCACAAUUACCAAAUGUCUGACAUCCAUUAGCCGCUGAUAUUUAAAUCAAUGUUCUCUAGUGGUGUUGUUAAACAAAACAGACUUCAACUUUACUGUGGGAAAACCCUUGUCUUGCUGAAUAUAUUCAAAUUGAUUUAAAAAUAAACAUAAAAACCUGUCGCCCACUAACAUUUACCCCCCCCCCCCCCCCCCCUCCCAAAAAAAAGACAAAAAGUGACGCUCACCUACUAACUUUUGUUAUGUAGCUUUAUAAUUAAUUUACUUGAAAUUUCUUUGUGAGAACUUGCCCAUGUAUCUGCCAACUUAAACAAUAAAUUUAAUUAGCUUCCUGGCAUGUUUAA